UUCGUUUCUCCUUAUUAUACUUUCUUAUUUCUUCUUCUAUUCGAUUUUGGCGCCAAGAAGAAGGGGAUACUGUGAAACCCUAACCUAACCAUGCCGCAGAGCAGAGGUUCUUCAGAGGCCAAAAAAUCGACACUUGAGGCGCUCCAACCCCCACGUUCGAAUGGUAUUUAUGUGAUGAGUUGAGGUCUUGUUCUUGUGGGCUAUCUGAUCUGGUUUCCUUUUAAAAUCAUCUGCCAGUUUGUCAUUUCGAUCAGUCAAGAGAUAUAUGGCUUGCCCUUGUUUGUGAAUAAUAACUGAAGUUGUAACUCGUGCACACAAUCAUCGAAUUAAACUACUUAAUUGAAUGAAAAUUUUAUUUUCAGUUUUAGGGAA